rnacentral:rRNA from 1 species
GUUUGAGUAUCAGUAAACACCCCAAAGCUUUUGGUAUUUUUUUAAUCGAAAAGCUUUGGACUUGAGCAAUCCCAACACCAAUCUUUUUGAGAUCGGUGGCGGGUUGCUUGAAAUGCAGGUGCAGCUGGACAUUCUCCUGAGCUAAAAGCAUAUUCAUUUAGUCCCGUCAAACGGAUUAUUACUUUUGCUGCAGCUAACAUAAAGGGAGUUUGACCGUAUUGGCUGACUGAUGCAGGAUUUCACAAGGGUCGGCAACGAUUCUUGUUAAACUCGAUCUCAAAUCAAGUAAGACUACCCGCUGAACUUAA